AUUGAACGCUGGCGGCAGGCCUAACACAUGCAAGUCGAGCGGAUGAGGGAAGCUUGCUUCCCGAUUUAGCGGCGGACGGGUGAGUAAUGCCUAGGAAUCUGCCUAUUAGUGGGGGAUAACGUUCCGAAAGGAACGCUAAUACCGCAUACGUCCUACGGGAGAAAGUGGGGGAUCUUCGGACCUCACGUUAAUAGAUGAGCCUAGGUCGGAUUAGCUAGUUGGUGAGGUAACGGCUCAUCAAGGCGACGAUCCGUAGCUGGUCUGAGAGGAUGAUCAGCCCCACUGGAACUGAGACACGGUCCAGACUCCUACGGGAGGCAGCAGUGGGGAAUAUUGGACAAUGGGCGAAAGCCUGAUCCAGCCAUGCCGCGUGUGUGAAGAAGGUCUUCGGAUUGUAAAGCACUUUGAGUUGGGAGGAAGAGUUGUAAGCUAAUAUCUUGCAGCUUUGACGUUACCAACAGAAUAAGCACCGGCUAACUCUGUGCCAGCCGCCGCAGUAACAC
rnacentral:rRNA from 1 species